GGAUUAAAGGCACGCACCACCACCUCCUGGUCAUUUAAUAACCUUUUGAAACAAAGGUAGGGUUGCCAGAUGAUUACAAACAACUUUUUGGAACAAAGGCAUGAGCUCCAUUCCUGGAACAAGUGUUACAGAACCAUUUGUAAUUAAGGCUGGGAGUUGAGAAAGAGAGGUUUGAUCAUAAACAGGAACAAAGCUUGUUUGUUUUUAUUAUAGAUGGCUUUUAAGCCUAAAAUGAAGGCAGGCUGAUUCUUCAAAAGGUCUCAGUACAUAGCCCAGUCUGGCUUCCAAUUACAGGAGUGUGCCUCUAUGUCUGGACUUCAUGAUUCAUUUACUUUGUCUCUGCAAAAGUGUCUUAGUUUGUUAUUCCCAACAGUAGGCAUGGUGCUCGACACAGUACCUAUUCAGUUUCCUAGAAUUAUAUGAUCUGUUGAAUGCAUACAUUAUUUAAUUAUCAAUCCUUGUACUUUGAGAUGAGAACAGAUGAAUUAGAUGAGUGCCCUCCCAAGGCAACCUGGGUAAAAGCAUACAGCAACAGCAAAUACUUCUUUUCUUCUUUUUCUUGAGACAGAGUCUCAAGUUUACUACAAACUUGCAACACAGCCGAGGAUGAUCUUUAACUCCUUAUCCUCCUGCCUCCACUUCCCAAAUUCCCGGCUCCACCUAUCACACAAUAAUCUCCCUCCCUGACCCCGUUUUUGUUUUGUUCGAGAUCAGGAUCACAUUCUGUACAUGAACUCACCAAGUAAACUCACAGUAAUCCUUUUGCCAUAGCCCCCCAAGUACGAGUAUUAACAGGCGUGAGACACUCCCCAAUGGUGACCUCCAACACAAAAGAUUUCACAGUGAUUGACCACAAAGCCAAUGACAGAGAUAUGCACAUGGAAAAAAAUCCAAUGAACUUUUAAUUCACCCUAUUGUUUGAAAUGCUGUGAAUUUUUGGCUCAGAGGUAAUCUGUUUCUAGAAUCGGGACCAAUUUCUAACUCUUGUUAGAAGUCAUUAGGGAACCACGAUAAUGGAUGGAUGUGUGCACUCUUAAGCAGAGGCAGUCGCCGCAUUCCAAAGUGGGGGUGGGGCUCAAGGCAAAGGAUCAACACGCGCGAGGUCACCACCGCACAGCGGACUGCAAGCACCCACCAGCAGACUCCUGCCCUGGGAGUUCCUCCUUCCUUCCCCUUCCUACCCCGCCCAGCCCUCUCCUCCAGUCCCCUCCCCUCUCCUUUACCUCUCUCCCCUUCCCCUCCUCCCUACCCCAGGCAAUCUACAAAUUCAACUCUAGUCUGCUCUCUCGCUCCUUCCUCAAAGUCCAACCCUCAACCGCUUCCUUUUUCCGUCCCUGAAACGGCGUCUCAGGGACGAACCGGAAGUGCGUCAUGAUCUGGCGCCCAGUUAUUCGUUUGGCGCGCGCGUCCGAGAGGAGGAUUUUGGGUUCUCUUGGUUUUUCUCACGGCUCUUCGCGGCUUUGGAGUAUUUUUGUAACGCGGUGACGACGAUUGUCGACAUGCCAUCUAUGCUGGGCUCGAUGAUGGUGGCCUCUACGUCGGCCCCCUCCCUGCAAGAAGCUUUGGAAAAUGCGGGGAGGCUUAUCGACCGACAGUUGCAAGAAGACCGCAUGUACCCGGACCUUUCUGAGCUGCUCAUGGUGUCGGCCCCAAACAGUCCUACUGUUUCUGGAAUGUCUGAUAUGGAUUACCCUCUGCAAGGACCAGGUCUACUGUCAGUACCGAGCCUUCCAGAGAUCAGCACCAUCCGAAGAGUUCCCCUCCCGCCUGAGCUGGUUGAACAGUUUGGACACAUGCAGUGUAACUGCAUGAUGGGUGUUUUCCCUCCUAUCAGCAGAGCUUGGCUUACAAUUGACAGUGACAUAUUCAUGUGGAACUAUGAAGACGGAGGUGAUCUUGCCUAUUUUGAUGGACUCAGUGAGACAAUUCUUGCUGUGGGGCUUGUGAAACCAAAAGCUGGAAUCUUUCAACCUCAUGUAAGACAUUUGUUGGUUUUGGCAACACCUGUGGAUAUAGUAAUUCUUGGACUCAGCUAUGCUAAUGUUCAGACAGGCUCUGGCAUCCUUAAUGACAGUGUGUGUGGUGGCCUGCAGCUGCUUCCAGAUCCUUUGUACUCCCUUCCCACGGACAACACUUACCUUUUAACUAUCACCUCCACGGAUAAUGGCAGGAUUUUUUUGGCUGGAAAGGACGGCUGUUUGUAUGAAGUAGCAUACCAAGCAGAAGCAGGCUGGUUCAGUCAAAGAUGUAGGAAGAUAAACCACUCCAAGAGCUCGCUCUCCUUCCUCGUGCCUUCCUUGCUGCAGUUCACCUUCUCAGAAGAUGAUCCUAUUGUUCAAAUUGAAAUUGAUAAUUCCAGAAAUAUUUUGUAUACCCGAUCGGAGAAAGGAGUGAUACAGGUUUAUGAUUUGGGCCAUGAUGGACAGGGGAUGAGUAGAGUUGCUUCAGUUUCACAGAAUGCCAUUGUCUGUGCUGCUGGGAACAUUGCUAGGACUAUCGAUCGUUCCGUUUUUAAGCCAAUUGUUCAAAUAGCUGUGAUUGAGAACUCUGAAUCAUUGGACUGUCAGUUACUGGCUGUCACUCAUGCAGGUGUGAGGUUGUAUUUCAGCACUUGUCCGUUUAGACAGCCAUUAGCUCGGCCCAAUACACUGACACUGGUUCACGUCCGGUUACCUCCUGGCUUCUCAGCGUCUUCAACAGUUGAAAAGCCUUCAAAAGUACAUAAAGCACUUUAUAGUAAAGGAAUUUUACUGAUGACAGCCUCAGAAAAUGAAGAUAAUGACAUUUUAUGGUGUGUCAACCAUGAUACAUUUCCUUUCCAAAAGCCAAUGAUGGAAACUCAGAUGACAACUCGUGUUGAUGGCCAUUCCUGGGCUCUUUCUGCAAUAGAUGAAUUAAAAGUAGAUAAAAUAAUCACGCCUUUAAAUAAAGAUCAUAUUCCAAUAACUGACUCCCCAGUUGUUGUACAACAGCACAUGUUGCCUCCAAAGAAAUUCGUUCUCCUCUCAGCACAGGGUAGUCUUAUGUUUCACAAACUUAGACCCGUAGAUCAGCUGAGACAUCUGCUUGUGAGUAACGUGGGAGGGGAUGGAGAAGAGAUUGAGAGAUUCUUCAAAUUACAUCAGGAAGACCAAGCUUGUGCGACGUGCCUUAUUCUUGCUUGUUCCACCGCUGCCUGUGACAGAGAGGUGUCUGCCUGGGCUACGCGGGCAUUCUUUAGGUAUGGUGGUGAGGCACAGAUGAGAUUUCCAGCUACUCUUCCCACUCCGAGUAACGUUGGUCCCAUCCUGGGCUCUCCUAUGUAUUCUAGUUCUCCUGUUCCUACUGGGAGUCCCUAUCCAAAUCCUUCCUCUUUGGGGACACCAUCCCAUGGUGCUCAGCCUCCUACCAUGUCAACCCCAAUGUCUGCUGUUGGAAACCCAGCCAUGCAGGCUGCAAGCCUGAGUGGUUUGACUGGACCAGAGAUUGUGUACUCAGGAAAACACAACGGUAUUUGCAUUUACUUUUCUCGAAUCAUGGGAAAUAUUUGGGAUGCUAGCUUAGUUGUUGAAAGAGUAUUCAAGAGUUCCAACAGGGAGAUCACUGCAAUUGAAAGCAGUGUGCCUAUCCAGCUGCUGGAGUCAGUGCUACAGGAACUGAAGGGUUUGCAGGAAUUUCUAGACAGAAAUUCUCAGUUUUCAGGAGGACCACUAGGAAAUCCAAAUACCACUGCCAAAGUGCAGCAGAGGCUGCUUGGAGUCAUGCGUCCCGAGAAUGGAAACACCCAGCAAAUGCAACAGGAGCUGCAGAGGAAGUUUCAUGAGGCUCAACUGAGUGAGAAGAUUUCACUUCAGGCAAUCCAGCAGCUAGUUAGAAAAUCGUACCAAGCUCUGGCUUUGUGGAAACUCCUUUGUGAACAUCAGUUUACUGUCAUUGUAGGAGAACUUCAAAAGGAAUUUCAAGAGCAGCUGAAGAUCACUACCUUUAAGGAUCUGGUAAUCAGGGACAAAGAGGUCACUGGAGCACUAAUUGCUUCUCUCAUCAACUGCUACAUCAGAGACAAUGCUGCUGUAGAUGGCAUUAGUUUACAUCUGCAGGACACCUGUCCGCUUCUGUAUAGCACAGAUGAUGCAGUUUGUUCCAAGGCAAAUGAACUUCUUCAGCGUUCCCGGCAAGUUCAGAGUAAGAGCGAGAGAGAGAGGAUGUUGAGGGAGUCUCUGAAGGAGUACCAGAAAAUCAGCAACCAAGUAGACCUCCCCAGUGUGUGUGCUCAGUAUCGGCAAGUGCGCUUUUAUGAGGGUGUGGUGGAACUGUCUCUUACUGCUGCGGAGAAGAAAGAUCCUCAGGGUCUUGGACUCCAUUUCUAUAAGCAUGGGGAACCGGAAGAGGAUGUGGUUGGUCUUCAGACUUUCCAAGAGAGAUUAAACAGUUACAAGUGCAUCACAGACACUCUUCAAGAACUGGUAAAUCAAAGUAAGGCAGCUCCUCAGUCUCCUAGUGUACCCAAAAAGCCUGGUCCUCCAGUGUUGUCAUCCGAUCCCAACAUGCUGAGCAAUGAAGAGGCAGGACAUCACUUUGAACAAAUGCUUAAACUGGCUCAGCGAUCCAAGGAUGAGCUCUUCAGUAUUGCUCUCUAUAACUGGCUAAUCCAAGCUGACCUUGCAGAUAAACUGCUACAGAUUGCAUCUCCAUUUCUUGAGCCACAUCUUGUCCGAAUGGCCAAAGUGGAUCAAAACCGAGUUCGCUAUAUGGAUUUACUCUGGAGGUAUUAUGAGAAGAACAGGAGUUUCAGCAGUGCUGCUCGGGUCCUGUCCAAGCUGGCCGACAUGCACAGAAAUUUCACUGCAGCAGCGACUAGAAUACAUUGCUCGAGCCAUUCUUAGUGCAAAAAGUUCCACUGCCAUUUCAUCCAUAGCUGCAGAUGGUGAAUUCCUACAUGAACUAGAAGAGAAAAUGGAAGUUGCUAGGAUCCAACUUCAGAUACAAGAGACACUACAAAGGCAGUACUCCCAUCAUUCUUCAGUGCAGGAUGCAAUUUCUCAGCUGGAUUCUGAGCUCAUGGACAUUACUAAG